rnacentral:rRNA from 1 species
UACGUAGGGGGCAAGCGUUGUCCGGAUUUAUUGGGCGUAAAGAGCGUGUAGGCGGCUUGGUAGGUCCGCUGUGAAAACUCGAGGCUCAACCUCGAGAUGUCGGCGGAAACCACUUGGCUAGAGUCCGGAAGAGGAGAGUGGAAUUCCUGGUGUAGCGGUGAAAUGCGCAGAUAUCAGGAAGAAUACCGAUGGCGAAGGCAGGUCUCUGGGCUGACACUGACGCUCAUGCACGAAAGCGUGGGGAGCAAACAGG